AAGCUCGCUCGGAGGUAUGGUACCGGUAUUGACAUACUAAAUACUUCUAGGCCUAGCGCCGUGAUAUGCAUAUGUGAAGUGUGAAUUGAGCUGAGUAUAUUUGAAAACCCAACUUGCAGAUCCGUUGUGCAGAUUAUCAGUGUCAUCAUGUUUCUUUCAUUUUCUCUAUUUGCAAAAAGCAAACGGGUAAUGGUGAUGUUGAAGAGUGCAGCUGGAACAGGAACUUGUAAAGUGAUGAUCAGGAACAGAUUAAAACCCAAAAUGAUGUUGGUCAAGUUUGAUCCGAAA